GUGCAGCCCUAACUUCAGUGAAGACUUGGAACAAGCUGAUAUGACAGCGUCACAGAGUGCGGACUAAGAAGACUUCUCCGACCUUAAAUUUUUUUUGCAGAAGCCCAGUGAAGUUCUCAGCCACUUCACUGUUCCUGCCUCCAUUCACCAAUCAACACUAACAGUGGAAAACAGACUUCAGUGCCAUCUGAUGCUCAGUCCCCACCAACUCCAAGGACACCCGAGGAAAAGGAACUUCCAGUGACAAUUAUUAAAACUGUUUGACUGCCUUUUCAUCAAAACAAGUGCGAUGGAGAAUGCAACAAACAGCCAGUGAGAGGAAGCCUUUUCUACAAUCUGUUACAUUUGUCAAUUUUCUACUUAAAGACUGGG